rnacentral:rRNA from 1 species
GAUGAACGCUGACAGAAUGCUUAACACAUGCAAGUCUACUUGAAUUUGGGUUUUUAACUUAGGUUUGGGUGGCGGACGGGUGAGUAACGCGUAAAGAACUUGCCUCACAGCUAGGGACAACAUUUAGAAAUGAAUGCUAAUACCUAAUAUUAUGAUAAUAGGGCAUCCUAUAAUUAUGAAAGCUAUAUGCGCUGUGAGAGAGCUUUGCGUCCCAUUAGCUAGUUGGAGAGGUAACGGCUCACCAAGGCGAUGAUGGGUAGCCGGCCUGAGAGGGUGAUCGGCCACAAGGGGACUGAGACACGGCCCUUACUCCUACGGGAGGCAGCAGUGGGGAAUAUUGGACAAUGGACCGAGAGUCUGAUCCAGCAAUUCUGUGUGCACGAUGAAGUUUUUCGGAAUGUAAAGUGCUUUCAGUUGGGAAGAAAGAAAUGACGGUACCAACAGAAGAAGUGACGGCUAAAUACGUGCCAGCAGCCGCGGUAAUACGUAUGUCACGAGCGUUAUCCGGAUUUAUUGGGCGUAAAGCGCGUCUAGGUGGUUAUAUAAGUCUGAUGUGAAAAUGCAGGGCUCAACUCUGUAUUGCGUUGGAAACUGUAUAACUAGAGUACUGGAGAGGUAAGCGGAACUACAAGUGUAGAGGUGAAAUUCGUAGAUAUUUGUAGGAAUGCCGAUGGGGAAGCCAGCUUACUGGACAGAUACUGACGCUGAAGCGCGAAAGCGUGAGUAGCAAACAGG